CCUACGGGUGGCUGCAGUAAGGAAUAUUGGUCAAUGGACGAAAGUCUGAACCAGCCAUCCCGCGUGCAGGAUGAAAGCCCUAUGGGUUGUAAACUGCUUUUAGCAGAGAAGAAAAGCUUCCAUUUAUGGGGGUCUGACGGUAUCUGCAGAAUAAGCACCGGCUAACUCCGUGCCAGCAGCCGCGGUAAUACGGAGGGUGCGAGCGUUACCGGGAAUUACUGGGUCGAAAGGGUGCGAUGGCGGAGGUUGAGAACUCUUGUCGCUUAACGAUAAAAUUGCCUAUGAUUCUGGUACUCUUGAAUUGGGUUGAGGUUAGCGGAAUGUGACAUGUAGCGGUGAAAUGCAUAGAUAUGUCAUGGAACACCAAUUGCGAAGGCAGCUAACUGGGCCUUGAUUGACGCUGAGGCACGAAAGCGUGGGUAGCGAACAGGAUUAGAUACCCUUGUAGUC
rnacentral:rRNA from 1 species